rnacentral:rRNA from 1 species
UACGUAGGGGGCGAGCGUUGUCCGGAAUUAUUGGGCGUAAAGAGCGUGUAGGCUGUUCGGUAAGUCUGCCGUGAAAGCCUGAGGCUCAACCUCGGGCGUGCGGUGGAUACUGCCGGGCUAGAGGACGGUAGAGGCAGGUGGAAUUCCCGGUGUAGCGGUGGAAUGCGUAGAGAUCGGGAAGAACAUCAGUGGCGAAGGCGGCCUGCUGGGCUGUUGCUGACGCUGAGGCGCGACAGCGUGGGGAGCAAACAGG